rnacentral:lncRNA from 1 species
CAGCUGGCCAAAUGUACAAGUAGCUUAGGUAUUGAGGUUAAGUUUGCAUAUUUGCAUAGCAAUAUGCUAAAAUUCAUCUGUCCUUAUGAGCAGAGUCCACAGAAGUAAAACUUGGCAAUACUGGAAAGCACUAUGUCUACAUUUUUCUGAAGACACUUGGAGCUGCUAUGAAAGGUCAUUUUUUUGUUGCAGUACUUCGAUUUUCUGACAGGACUUCAAGGAUGCUGGAAGAUGUAGUUGUCUUAGUGGUGGUUCCAUAUAACUUCCAGUCGUAACAAUUUUUAUUGCGCAUAAAGUGAAUUGAAGGAAGGAA